rnacentral:rRNA from 1 species
CACAAGCGGUGGAGUAUGUGGUUUAAUUCGAUGCAACGCGAAGAACCUUACCUGGUCUUGACAUCCCGGGGACCCUUAGGAAACUAGGGGGUGCUUCCAUCUGGAAGAAUCUGGAGACAGGUGCUGCAUGGCUGUCGUCAGCUCGUGUCGUGAGAUGUUGGGUUAAGUCCCGCAACGAGCGCAACCCUUGCCUUUAGUUGCCAGCAGUUCGGCUGGGCACUCUAAAGGGACUGCCGGUGUUAAACCGGAGGAAGGUGGGGAUGACGUCAAGUCCUCAUGGCCUUUAUGACCAGGGCUACACACGUACUACAAUGGCCGAUACAAAGGGCAGCGACACUGCGAGGUGAAGCCAAUCCCGUAAAAUCGGUCUCAGUCCGGAUUGGAGUCUGCAACUCGACUCCAUGAAGUUGGAAUCGCUAGUAAUCGUGGAUCAGCAUGCCACGGUGAAUACGUUCCCGGGCCUU